rnacentral:rRNA from 1 species
UACGUAGGGUGCAAGCGUUAAUCGGAAUUACUGGGCGUAAAGCGUGCGCAGGCGGUUGUGCAAGACAGAUGUGAAAUCCCCGGGCUUAACCUGGGAAUUGCAUUUGUGACUGCACGGCUAGAGUGUGUCAGAGGGGGGUAGAAUUCCACGUGUAGCAGUGAAAUGCGUAGAUAUGUGGAGGAAUACCGAUGGCGAAGGCAGCCCCCUGGGAUAGCACUGACGCUCAUGCACGAAAGCGUGGGGAGCAAACAGG